rnacentral:rRNA from 1 species
AACGAACGCUGGCGGCAGGCUUAACACAUGCAAGUCGAACGCAUCGCAAGAUGAGUGGCAGACGGGUGAGUAACGCGUGGGAAUCUACCCAUCUCUGCGGAAUAGCUCUGGGAAACUGGAAUUAAUACCGCAUACGCCCUACGGGGGAAAGAUUUAUCGGGGAUGGAUGAGCCCGCGUUGGAUUAGCUAGUUGGUGGGGUAAAGGCCUACCAAGGCGACGAUCCAUAGCUGGUCUGAGAGGAUGAUCAGCCACAUUGGGACUGAUACACGGCCCAAACUCAUACGGGAGGCAGCAGUGGGGAAUAUUGGACAAUAGGCGCAAGCCUGAUCCAGCCAUGCCGCGUGAGUGAUGAAGGCCUUAGGGUUGUAAAGCUCUUUCACCGAUGAAGAUAAUGACGGUAGUCGGAGAAGAAGCCCCGGCUAACUUCGUGCCAGCCGCCGCCGUAA